rnacentral:rRNA from 1 species
AUUGAACGCUGGCGGCAUGCCUUACACAUGCAAGUCGAACGGCAGCAUGGAAGAGCUUGCUCUUCUGAUGGCGAGUGGCGAACGGGUGAGUAAAGCAUCGGAACGUACCGUGUAGUGGGGGAUAACGUAGCGAAAGUUACGCUAAUACCGCAUACGCACUGAGGUGGAAAGCAGGGGAUCGCAAGACCUCGCGCGAUUGGAGCGGCCGAUGUCAGAUUAGCUAGUUGGUGGGGUAAAGGCCCACCAAGGCGACGAUCUGUAGCUGGUCUGAGAGGACGACCAGCCACACUGGGACUGAGACACGGCCCAGACUCCUACGGGAGGCAGCAGUGGGGAAUUUUGGACAAUGGGCGCAAGCCUGAUCCAGCAAUGCCGCGUGCAGGAAGAAGGGCCUUCGGGUUGUAAACUGCUUUUGUACGGUAACGAAAAGGUCUGGGUUAAUACCCUGGGCUCAUGACGGUACCGUAAGAAUAAG